rnacentral:lncRNA from 1 species
CACAGAUGAGCGCAGGAGGUGGCUUGCACCUUCUGUGGCCGGGAGCUGAAACAACAAGCAGUGCCUUGCUCAGGAGCGAGCAAUGUCGAUGUACUGUGAUAGCCUCAGGCACUGAUCUGCAUGAGAACCAGAGGAGAAUUUAGCUGUGCAUGAACUAGACAGUGCUGCAGCAAUGCAAUACAGGCUGCAUGCAGGGCGGAGGAGAGCCCUGUUUGUACUGGGACAGCUACGUGUGGGCACGCAGCCACCAGGCAGGUGCAUUUCACCAACAGUGAAAUGUCAAAGUUAUCAACUCUGUAAAAGUUAAGGAAAUAAAGUUUUACUGCAGGGAAUGACUCAGCUUUAUACCAGCUAUAAAAGCCCGCCCGGUGUUUGUG